UUGACCUCAAAUCAGGUAGGACUACCCGCUGAACUUAAGCAUAUCAAUAAGCGGAGGAAAAGAAACUAACAAGGAUUCCCCUAGUAACUGCGAGUGAAGCGGGAAAAGCUCAAAUUUAAAAUCUGGCGGUCUUGCGGCCGUCCGAGUUGUAAUCUGGAGAAGCGUUUAUCCGCGUCGGACCGUGUACAAGUCUUCUGGAAGGGAGCGUCGUAGAGGGUGAGAAUCCCGUCUUUGACACGGACAACCGGUGCUUUUGUGAUGCGCUCUCGAAGAGUCGAGUUGUUUGGGAAUGCAGCUCAAAAUGGGUGGUAAAUUCCAUCUAAAGCUAAAUUUGGCGAGAG
rnacentral:rRNA from 1 species